UCCCUGAUGGACUAGUGGCUAGCAUGCAGUGCUAUCACCACUGCGGCCCGCGUUUUAUUCCCAGUCAGGGAA
rnacentral:tRNA from 1 species